rnacentral:rRNA from 1 species
ACGUACGCUGGCGGCACGCCUAACACAUGCAAGUCGAACGAAGUAGCAAUACUUGGUGGCGACCGGCGCACGGGUGCGUAACGCGUAUGCAACCUACCCAUUACUGGAGGAUAGCCCGAGGAAACUCGGAUUAAUACUCCAUAGUAUCAUAAAGACACAUGUUUUAAUGAUUAAAGAUUUAUUGGUAAUGGAUGGGCAUGCGUAUCAUUAGAUAGUUGGUGGGGUAAUGGCCUACCAAGUCUACGAUCUAUAGCUGGUUUGAGAGGAUGAUCAGCAACACUGGGACUGAGACACGGCCCAGACUCCUACGGGAGGCAGCAGUGGGGAAUCUUAG